AGUCUCUUUGUUUUCCCGUCAUAGAUAUAAGGAAUUUUGUAUUUUCUAUGCCUUGUACUCAUUUGAUCUGUCUUUUGUUGUUGUUGGGCCAUUCUCAAAUCGUUGUUGAAAAUACUUAACAGUAAGAAAUAACACUAGUACUUAGCUCCAAUUUCGCCAUAGAUUUUGAAGUUAAAACUUGAUAUUUGAAAAUUUGAGUUUUUAAAGUUGUGAUUUUUGAAACUUGAAGUUGUAUUUGAACAUGCAUUUUACUUGGAAAAAAAUUGAUGUUUUGUGAGUGAAAGUCCAAAAAAACCCAAAUCUGGUCUGGACCAAUUUUUGGAACUUGAAAAUUUUUUGAUGACAGAAUUUCAAAAUUUGAGCCAAAAUCUAUGGCCAAACACUAGCUUAGAAAAAAAAAAUACUUCCUCUGUCCCUCUUUAUGUGCUACCUUUCGGACUUUUGAGAGUCAAAUAAUUUUUUCUUUAAUUGCGAUUCUUUCAUAUGCUUUUUAUUUAUUAUUGUGACUUAUACUACUUUUUACGUAGUUUUCAAGUACAUAAGUUUUAUUUUAAAGAACUUAAAGAUUUCAUGUCUAUAUUUAUGGUUAAAAUUAAAAAAAUUGACUCUCCAAAUCCAAACAGAGCCACAUAAAUUGGGACACAGAUAAUAAUAUUUCAAAAAAAUUGAAAAGCUAAAAAGAUGUGUUGCUUUGGGAUGGCUGUUUUCCUUGAAAACAACUACUCCAUUAAUUAUUCCCCUAACUCUGCAAGCUGUUCGUUUUAAGAAUGAGCUAGAGCGUAACAUUACAACUAAUCUUUGAUAUGCUAAUGCCUAAAUAUACAAAUGUGAAGAUGAGCACUACCCCAGAUCCAUGUUCCUUUUUUUUUUUUUUCCUUAGUAGCGUUUGGCCAUGAAAACCAAAUGUUUUUCACUUUAUUUGAAAUUUUGAAGUUGGAGUUAGGUUUGGUUAUAGUUUUUACAAAGAAUAUUUGGUUGUUUGAAUGUAUUGAAAGUGAAAAAAGUAAAAACAAUGUUUUAGGUGUUUUUCAAUUCCAAAUAUAACUUCAAAUUGUAUUUGAAAUUUUCAUGACCAAACAAUGAUUUCGAAUAAAGUGAAAUAAUUAUCCGGAAAAAAAUGAAAAAUUCUCAUGGCCAAACAGGUCCUAAUUAAAGGCCACUUGGUUGAUAACCGAGGGGCAAUAGACCCAUGUGUCCUAAUUAAAGGCCACUUGGUUGAUAACCUAGGGGCAGUAGACCCAUGUUCUACAAAUAAGCUCCUGAUUUUUUGAGAAACUUAGGCUUUUGCUGAGUUAAAGAAUAUCUGUUGACCAGGGCAUAUGGAAGUGCAAAAGAAGACAGUCCUAUGUGUGAUCUCCCUGGUUUUGAGUGCUGCAGGAGUAAACUGCUACGACAUGUGUCUUUUGUUGAUUAUCCUGGUCAUGAUAUUAUCAUAGCUACCAUGCUUAAUGGAGCUGCCAUUAUGGAUGGAGCAUUAUCUCUAAUUGCAGCCUCUUACGUCCGAAAAUUUAGCUGCUGCUGCAAUUAUGCGCCUCCAACAUAUAAUAAUACUUUAAAAUAAGAUUGAUCUUGUUCUGGAAGAUGUUGCCAUCAAUCAGAAUGAAGCUAUUCAGAAAUUUAUGCAGGUUAGUGGUACAUAGUAUUAUUUAGCCUCGCGUGUCACUGUGCUCGAUCUAUAUAGCUAUAUCAUGAUCUUGUACUUCACUGCCUGUUUAGGGAACUGUAGCAAAUGGUGCACGAGUUGUAUCGAAUGGGAAAGUAUACCAUGUAGUUUAAAGUUCUCUGGUUUGAAAUGAAUAAAAAACUUAUAGCUAACUGAAAUACCUUUACUCCAAAUGGUAGUAUAAGUUGAUGAGAUAGCAAUCCUCUUGUGGAAGAGCAAUAAAUUGAGACCUUCCAGUUGAUCAAAAAAGUAUGAUUUAUAGUACUAAGUUCUUAAAUAAAAAUAAGUCUGAUAUGUAAUACUAAAACUGGGAACACUUUAAGUUAAAAGCUAAAAUAUCAAAAUAACCCUAUAAAGCUGAGUGACUAUAUUACCCUUCAAAAAUAAAUAAGUUGUUCCUUCAUAAACUUUAAACACUAAAUUAUUCAUUUAUAUCAUUGUACAAAAACGUUCCAUAAUAAAUACCGUUAAUAAUCACAAAUUCACAAUGCAGUUACAUCUCUUGUACUUGAUGUUUUCAUAUUAAUCUAAAUUUUGGCUUUUUAUUUGUUUCUUCCAUUUUUAUGUUAUAUAAAGAUAAGGGUGAAAAUGAUUUUGACCCCCCAACUUUGCUUUGAAAAUCAAACUCUCCCCUCAAAUGAACAAUAGACAUUCUCUCUCUUUUAUCCUAUGCAAUAUCUAUUUUACCAUUGACUUUUUUAAUCCUCCAUCUAUGUAAUGCCAUUUUAUAUUGUAUAAAAUUUAUUUUUUAACCUAGGUAUUUAUAAAUUUUUAUUUAAGUUCAUAUUAUAAGUAGAAUAAUCCUUUUAUGAAUUUAUCGUAAAAUCUAAUGUUACUAUGAUUGAUAUUUUAAUAUACAUGCAUGUACACACACACACACGUACAUACAUGUUACCUGUUAUUUUACAUAUAUAUGUAUAUGCAGAUUAUAAGUUUCAGUUCUCUCUUAUUCUCUAUGGUCGAUAUA